GGUUAAGCGACUAAGCGUACACGGUGGAUGCCCUGGCAGUCAGAGGCGAUGAAGGACGUGCUAAUCUGCGAAAAGCGUCGGUAAGGUGAUAUGAACCGUUAUAACCGGCGAUGUCCGAAUGGGGAAACCCAGUGCAAUUCGUUGCACUAUCGUUAACUGAAUACAUAGGUUAACGAGGCGAACCGGGGGAACUGAAACAUCUAAGUACCCCGAGGAAAAGAAAUCAACCGAGAUUCCCCCAGUAGCGGCGAGCGAACGGGGAGCAGCCCAGAGUCUGAAUCAGCUUGUGUGUUAGUGGAACGGUCUGGAAAGUCCGACGGUACAGGGUGAUAGUCCCGUACACCAAAAUGCACAGGCUGUGAACUCGAAGAGUAGGGCGGGACACGUGGUAUCCUGUCUGAAUAUGGGGGGACCAUCCUCCAAGGCUAAAUACUCCUGACUGACCGAUAGUGAACCAGUACCGUGAGGGAAAGGCGAAAAGAACCCCGGCGAGGGGAGUGAAAAAGAACCUGAAACCGUGUACGUACAAGCAGUGGGAGCACCUUCGGGUGUGACUGCGUACCUUUUGUAUAAUGGGUCAGCGACUUAUAUUCUGUAGCAAGGUUAACCGUAUAGGGGAGCCGCAGGGAAACCGAGUCUUAACUGGGCGUUAAGUUGCAGGGUAUAGACCCGAAACCCGGUGAUCUAGCCAUGGGCAGGUUGAAGGUUGGGUAACACUAACUGGAGGACCGAACCGACUAAUGUUGAAAAAUUAGCGGAUGACUUGUGGCUGGGGGUGAAAGGCCAAUCAAACCGGGAGAUAGCUGGUUCUCCCCGAAAGCUAUUUAGGUAGCGCCUCGUGAACUCAUCUUCGGGGGUAGAGCACUGUUUCGGCUAGGGGGUCAUCCCGACUUACCAACCCGAUGCAAACUACGAAUACCGAAGAAUGUUAUCACGGGAGACACACGGCGGGUGCUAACGUCCGUCGUGAAGAGGGAAACAACCCAGACCGCCAGCUAAGGUCCCAAAGUCAUGGUUAAGUGGGAAACGAUGUGGGAAGGCACAGACAGCCAGGAUGUUGGCUUAGAAGCAGCCAUCAUUUAAAGAAAGCGUAAUAGCUCACUGGUCGAGUCGGCCUGCGCGGAAGAUGUAACGGGGCUAAACCAUGCACCGAAGCUGCGGCAGCGACACUAUGUGUUGUUGGGUAGGGGAGCGUUCUGUAAGCCUGCGAAGGUGACCUGUGAGGGUUGCUGGAGGUAUCAGAAGUGCGAAUGCUGACAUAAGUAACGAUAAAGCGGGUGAAAAGCCCGCUCGCCGGAAGACCAAGGGUUCCUGUCCAACGUUAAUCGGGGCAGGGUGAGUCGACCCCUAAGGCGAGGCCGAAAGGCGUAGUCGAUGGGAAACAGGUUAAUAUUCCUGUACUUGGUGUUACUGCGAAGGGGGGACGGAGAAGGCUAUGUUAGCCGGGCGACGGUUGUCCCGGUUUAAGCAUGUAGGCUGAUUGUCCAGGCAAAUCCGGAUAAUCAAGGCUGAGGUGUGAUGACGAGGCACUACGGUGCUGAAGUAACAAAUGCCCUGCUUCCAGGAAAAGCCUCUAAGCAUCAGGUAACAUCAAAUCGUACCCCAAACCGACACAGGUGGUCAGGUAGAGAAUACCAAGGCGCUUGAGAGAACUCGGGUGAAGGAACUAGGCAAAAUGGUGCCGUAACUUCGGGAGAAGGCACGCUGGUGUGUAGGUGAAGUCCCUGCGGAUGGAGCUGAGACCAGUCGAAGAUACCAGCUGGCUGCAACUGUUUAUUAAAAACACAGCACUGUGCAAACACGAAAGUGGACGUAUACGGUGUGACGCCUGCCCGGUGCCGGAAGGUUAAUUGAUGGGGUUAUCCGUAAGGAGAAGCUCUUGAUCGAAGCCCCGGUAAACGGCGGCCGUAACUAUAACGGUCCUAAGGUAGCGAAAUUCCUUGUCGGGUAAGUUCCGACCUGCACGAAUGGCGUAAUGAUGGCCAGGCUGUCUCCACCCGAGACUCAGUGAAAUUGAACUCGCUGUGAAGAUGCAGUGUACCCGCGGCAAGACGGAAAGACCCCGUGAACCUUUACUAUAGCUUGACACUGAACAUUGAGCCUUGAUGUGUAGGAUAGGUGGGAGGCUUUGAAGCGUGGACGCCAGUCUGCGUGGAGCCAACCUUGAAAUACCACCCUUUAAUGUUUGAUGUUCUAACGUUGGCCCCUUAUCGGGGUUGCGGACAGUGUCUGGUGGGUAGUUUGACUGGGGCGGUCUCCUCCCAAAGCGUAACGGAGGAGCACGAAGGUUAGCUAAUCCUGGUCGGACAUCAGGAGGUUAGUGCAAUGGCAUAAGCUAGCUUGACUGCGAGCGUGACGGCGCGAGCAGGUGCGAAAGCAGGUCAUAGUGAUCCGGUGGUUCUGAAUGGAAGGGCCAUCGCUCAACGGAUAAAAGGUACUCCGGGGAUAACAGGCUGAUACCGCCCAAGAGUUCAUAUCGACGGCGGUGUUUGGCACCUCGAUGUCGGCUCAUCACAUCCUGGGGCUGAAGUAGGUCCCAAGGGUAUGGCUGUUCGCCAUUUAAAGUGGUACGCGAGCUGGGUUUAGAACGUCGUGAGACAGUUCGGUCCCUAUCUGCCGUGGGCGCUGGAGAAUUGAGGGGGGCUGCUCCUAGUACGAGAGGACCGGAGUGGACGCAUCACUGGUGUUCGGGUUGUCAUGCCAAUGGCACUGCCCGGUAGCUAAAUGCGGAAGAGAUAAGUGCUGAAAGCAUCUAAGCACGAAACUUGCCCCGAGAUGAGUUCUCCCUGAGACUUUAAGUCUCCUGAAGGAACGUUAAAGACGAUGACGUUGAUAGGCCGGGUGUGUAAGCGCAGCGAUGCGUUGAGCUAACCGGUACUAAUGAACCGUGAGGCUUAACCUU
rnacentral:rRNA from 1 species